GCCCGCGCGGGCAAAGCGACUUCAAUGGAAACCGGCAACCGGCCUUAAAGGCCAUUUUCCAUUGCAGUCGCUUUGCCCGCGCGGGC